GAGGCGCCGCCCAGGGUGGCGAGAGCCGACGCCAACGCCAACGCCAACGCCGCGGAAAUGUGGACACCGCGCGCCGGUCCUCAAGCAGCUGCGUCUCUGUGGCGCAAUCGGUUAGCGCGUUCGGCUGUUAACCGAAAGGCCUUGGCCGGAGGAAGAAUGCUCCCACACAGCUGCGAUUGCCAGGGACCAUCUCUAACAUCGACAAGUGAACGAAUAAAUGUCAUGGCAUUCACUCGGAAAAACUCCGCAGACUUCCACGACGAUGGCCAUGGGAAUUGUGAGGCAGGCUUGUUGGAUUGCCUGUGUGAAGACCCUGUGGAGCCAGUAGGAUGAACCAUGAGUUGCAGUGGAAACCCAGUGGAGAUGCCAGGACUAUGGGAUGGCUGCCGGCACCAGAUGUAUUUUUCCAGGACUGCUUCCUGCCACCCUUUCGAAGGAGAGAGAGGAGCCGCGCUGAGGCAGUCUCGUCAGAUGGCCAUGCACUACACUCAACUUGGAUCUGUGCCCACUGGUGUUUCCAAAUUUCCAAACAUUUCUUAAAACCUGUACAUUUCAUGCAGCCAAAUGUACAACUGCCAGAAACUAGACAAUCCUCAUGUUUACCAUUCUGAAACCCUCACUCUCCUACAAUUACAAAAAAAGCAGCAAGAACACAGUCCCGAGGAUUUUAAUUUAUAAAAUGGAUUACACAUUCCAUGGGAAGACUUGGAUAUAAAGCACCUGUUUAAAUUUUAUUCACAGUUAGUUACUAAACAAGGCCAGUGUGUGCCAAUUAGCACUACCCGAAACAGGUUACACCUUAGAAAUAAAUACUAAACUAAAAAGUUAAGAAGCAUUCAGCAAUUCUCAAACAAAUAUUCAUCAAAAUGAGGUAAGUCUAAUGUGUCAUUUGCUAACGUGGUUAAUGAUGAAGUGGAAAAGAAUUCAUCAAAAAUGUCAGUCUUCAUAGGACUCUCCAAGUCCAAUGCUCUGAUGCAGGCACUGUUUGCCAGUGAGUCUGAUUCAACUUCACACUGAGUUUUCUUGACAGGGCUACAGUAAUUAUGGUCCUGUUUCAGAUGGGUGCUUAGUUCACUAGGUGCUGGUGCUGGGCUGUUGCUAUCUCCCAUUUCUAAAUACCUAAAGUCAGGUUCCACACUUUCGGAGAGCUCUGUGGAAAUGGUUGUAGGAGACAGUAAUUCUGCUAAGAUGUCUUCUUGACUCUGACUAGGGUGCGAGCUAACGGGAGGAGCAGUGGUACAUCUGGCCUUGUUAUCUGCAGCGUCAAUUUGAUACUGUAGCUCCUUUAGAAGAUCUUCAAUGGACUCCCCAUCACUGGGGGACCCACAGUGGGACAGAGAUUCUAGAUUUUCACUUGGAGGUGUUACAGUUUGGGGAGAAGACUGAAGAGAAGCUAAUUUCUUCUUUUUUGCCUUUAGUUUCUUAAGAAGUUUUAGACGAAGUUUAUGAAUCUGAUCUUCAGCCAUGCCCCCGGGACUGGCUGAGGCGACG